rnacentral:rRNA from 1 species
UACAGAGGGGGCAAGCGUUGUUCGGAAUUACUGGGCGUAAAGGGCGCGUAGGCGGCCGUGUAAGUCCGACGUGAAAUCUGGAGGCUCAACCUCCAGCGGUCGUUGGAAACUACUCGGCUAGAGUCCGGAAGAGGAGAGUGGAAUUCCUGGUGUAGCGGUGAAAUGCGCAGAUAUCAGGAAGAACACCGAUGGCGAAAGCAGCUCUCUGGGACGGUACUGACGCUGAGGCGCGAAAGCGUGGGGAGCGAACAGG